UUGGCAGUGGCAGCUCUGCCCGGUGAUCCCGGGCUGGCUUUGUGCCCCUGUGGGCACACUGAGGGUGCCCCGGCCUGGGGCAGUGCCCAACCUGCACUGGGGGUCCUCUGGGCUCCCCCCUGCCCUGCUCCCCCCUCCUCUGGCCAUUCAGAAAGUUUGGGAUGGCUCAAACCAGACCAGAGCACAUCAUGUCAGGGCAGGAGCUCUGCCAGCAGCAGCAGGGCCACAUCUCAGAUCUCUGUGUUUUCUUUUACAUGCUCUUUCUUUAUAAAUAUUAUAUAUUUUCUUUUAUAAAUUUUUUAUUAUUUUUCUUUAUAUAUAUUUUAUAUUUUCUUUUUAUAAACAUUUUCUAUUUCUCUACUUUCUUUUCUAUUUAUUUCCUUUCUAUUUAUUUCCUUUCUAUUUAUUUCCUUUCUAUUUAUUUCCUUUCUAUUUAUUUCCUUCCUAUUUAUCCCUUCAUAUUUAUCCCUUCCUAAUUAUCCCUUCCUAUUUAUCCCUUCCUAUUUAUCCCUUCCUAUUUAUUAUCCCUUCCUAUUUAUAAUUUCCUUCAUAUUUUUCUUUGUAUUUUCCUUAUAUUUAUUUUUCUUAUACUUAUUUUCCAUAUAUUUUCUUUACGUUCUCCUCAUAUUUUUUUUUCCUUCUUUCCUCUUUUCCCUCCCCUAUAUCAUCUCUCCUCCCCCCCUUCCCCAUUUCCAUCCCUCCCCUGUCUCCCCUCUGGCAGCCCACGCCAGGCCAGCCCUUGGAGCCCCAGGAGACCAGCACCAAAAACCCUCUGGAGGAGCCUGAACCCCCUGAACCAGAUGGGACCCCCCCAGCCCCCCUGCAGGGCAGGACAGCCCCGACCCCCACGGGCCCAGAGAACACCCUGAGCCCCCCAAAUGUGGGGGUUGAGGAUGACAAAGGCACAGAAAAGGAGAGCGAGGAGUGGGACAACGACAGCGGCGAGACCUCGGUGUGGGACAGCUCUGACCUGGGCACAGAGACCCUCGGAGCCCACCCGGAAAUCCCUCUGGGGGACCUUCCCCAGACCCGCUCCGGGCUCCAGGCCUACAGGACCCACCUGCUCAUGGAGCUCAUGUGGCUGCAACAGGCUAUUGCCAGCAGGAAAAACGUGAGGACCUGGCCCUGCCUCUUCCCAAACAGCAGGGGCAGCCCCUCCAAAAGUGGGGCUGGCUGGGGACAAUCCCAUUAUCCAGGGAUUGGGCUGGGUGGGGACAGGGGUUUUGCUGUUUGAUCUGCCCCUGGGUCUCUGAGAUUUAAUCAUCAGUGUUUGGUUUUCUUCCUCUUCCAGUUCUUGAUGCUGAAGCAGAAGCUGGGGAUUCCUGACUCCUUGGAAGGCAUUCCCAACCCCCUGGAUGGGUGUGGGGAAGCCGUGGAGCUGCAGCACCACGGGUGACCUCAGGGGAGCUCCAGCUCCGUGGGUUGAUGGUUUUAACUUCAGCAGAAUGUGGCAAGAAAGCCUCUUAGCUCUUGUAGAUGUGAAUGUUUGGUCAGAGCAGGAUUAAACACUGUGGAGCCAGGGAGGUUGUGGUGUGUGCUGGAGGAAUUCCCUGUGAGGAUCCUUCCACAAGGACCCCAUUCCUGUUGGCUGAGCUGGGUGAUCCGGGGGGAGAAAAUGGAGGAUGGGAAGAUUUUUCACUUACAGAAGGUGCUUUUGGACUGAAAUGCCUGAAGGCAGCAGGUGCUGGGACCUGCAGGAACAGCCUGUUCCUCUCUGAACUAUGUGGGAAUCUGAGCUGAGUGUUUGGGAGGGCUCUGCACUUCACACCUCUGCAAUAUCCAGGAUCUCCAAGUGCCCGCGGUGGAUUUUGGGAACACUGGACCAGUGCCUCAGGGAGGUUGGGAAGUGCUCUAUCUGUUCCUGUAGCUCAGGAACAUUCCAGGUCCCUGGAAAAGGGACUUUCCAUGUGGUGCUGUGGUUCCCCCCCGUGAUUCCCCCUCUGCAUUCCUGCUCCCUGAACAGCCUCUGUUGCCAGGUGGCAGAUGGAUCCCUCUGUUCCAGAAUAGAUCCCCACUUG
ensembl:lncRNA